rnacentral:rRNA from 1 species
GACGAACGCUGGCGGCGCGCCUAACACAUGCAAGUCGAGCGAAGCGGCGGACGGGUGAGUAACCCGUGAGUAACCUGCCUUAGACAUUGGGAUAGCCUCGGGAAACCGGGAUUAAUACCAAAUGGUCUAAGAUGGUCUCGCGUCCCAUUAGCUAGUUGGUGGGGUAACGGCCCACCAAGGCGACGAUGGGUAGCCGGCCUUGGAGGGAGAGCGGCGACUUUGGAACUAGGAAGCAGUCCAGACUAUCCGGGAGGGAGCAGUGGGGAAUAUAGCACAAUGGAGGGAGCGCUGAAGCAGCGAGGCCGGGUAAACGAAGAAGGCUUUCAAGACGUAAAGUUCUUUUAUAUGGGAAGCGGUACCAUAAGAAAAAGCCCCGGCUAACUACGUGCCAGCAGCCGCGGUAAUAC